AUCAAUACUGCCUUGAAUUAUAACUUACAUAUUUGUAAUCCUAAAACUAGUCCUUUUCACAUUCUCAUUCAACAUAUAAUUCUAUCUCCCAUACAAUCAAUUUCUAAUAUUUCAUAUUGUUAUAAUUUUUCAAGCAACGGCGCCAAAAUGUUGUUCUUGUUAUGUUCAAGCUUCAAUAUACCAAAUCAAUUGAAUUAAUAGAAGUAGAUUCGAACACGGGAAAAGACUGGUUAUAUGAAUUGGAUUUGUUAGUAUCACAAUUGAUUAUACUCUGGCUAUCUAAAAUCAAUUAUCAAACUACAAAACACCAAGGCUUACUACUUCCAUCUUAAUUCAACACAUAAUCCAUUCUAUGAAUAUCAAUUCAACAAUACUUCCAUAUUCUUAUCAGUUCAUCUUCCACUUACUCUCUUUGCAGUUUAUAUAUAUUUAAUUACUUAUCUCUAGCUUACUUAUUAUAUUCAGUUUCUCAAUUCAUCACACAAAAUUCAAUAUCUUCACUUAACACAACACAAUUCGAUAAUCUCAAUUCUCAAGGUCACAGAUUUUCUCCAAAACGGUCAGUUUAAAGUCAUAUUCUAUAAUAUUCUAAUUAAGGUUUCAACAAUACUUCUCUCAAUCACAAUUCUUUAUAAGAAAAUAAUAAAAGUAAAGAAAACAAAGAGGUCGCACCAAGCUCACCUCAGCUUACGACUAUCAGAGUCUGGCCGCAAUCUCCCUUUUUUCAACCUCUUUAUCCUACCAAAAGAUGGACUGUCGGCCAGCAGAUUCCAAAGGUUAUGAACCUUUGAAUUCUUAACCAUUUGUUCCACUAACAACCUAUUCUUACCAACUAAAUUGCCUAACCAUAAGUCUAAUUCUCAAGGUUAUCA
rnacentral:lncRNA from 1 species